rnacentral:rRNA from 1 species
UACGGAGGGUGCAAACGUUGCUCGGAAUCAUUGGGCGUAAAGCGCACGUAGGCGGCCUGUUAAGUCGGGUGUGAAAGCCCUGGGCUCAACCCAGGAAGUGCACUCGAAACUGGCGGGCUUGAAUAUGGAAGAGGGUCGCGGAAUUCCCGGUGUAGAGGUGAAAUUCGUAGAUAUUCGCAAGAACACCAGUGGCGAAGGCGGCUCACUGGCCCGGUACUGACGCUGAGGUGCGAAAGCGUGGGGAGCAAACAGG